GAACACAGUGAUGUAUGCCUAUAAUCAUAACUGCUGAGGAGGCUGAGGCCAGAGAUUACCUGAACUCAAGAAUUUU
rnacentral:sRNA from 1 species